GUAUACAAACGAGGUACGGCUAA
rnacentral:miRNA from 1 species